GUUUGAUCAUGUGGCCUGCCGUUCAAUUUCCCAAAAUGUCGUCUCUUGCUCUUGCUUUAUUUUGCACGUUUCGUCACAAGUUAAGGUAUUUCCACGUCAUUCGACCAAGCUGAACCGAGAGUGAACUAUUUAAAACAACAUGUUGAAGAUCUUGUCUUUCUCCACGUGGGCACUGCAUUUGCAUGAAGUUGCGUCUUUGAGAUGGUCUCUACUAUGACAAAUGUGACCAAAAGAGGAAAUCUGCAUAGGUGACUUUGUUGCUGCCAGCUGGUGAAAGGGAGUGGUUGCCAAGAACAGAAGAGGACUUCAAUGGACAGGAGAGUUGACAGAACCGAACGAUUGCAGUUUUCCGCUUAAUGUCGGACGAAAUUCAACAACGUCACAUAAUUCACCCAUCGAACGAGUUUCUUUCUGCAAUUUUACCACAAAUGGAACGUUUGUCGACGGUACACUUCCCUGGCGGAAGGGAUUAGCUUGAUUGGGUAACUGGCUCCGGAACAGACGCUUCUAAUUCCUCCGAUGGGGGAUAAGCAUUCUUCGAAACUUCUUUUUUGCCCAGACAGCAACAGCAAUUGCCUAGAGUUCAACCUAAGAUGUGGCUCAAGAUUCCCGUUUACCAGGCCACCUCCCCUCAACAUGGUCAUCGAAGACAAACUGCUGAUCACGUGGCCUGAAACAGCUGCCAUUUUACUGGAAUAUCGUACCUUGCUACCUGUUCGUCUCGCGCUGCCCAAAAAAGCUUAAUUAAACAACAAAGCUGAUCAUGUGGCCUACAAUUUGCGAAGAUGUCGUCUCUUUUUCCUGUACGUACCGGCUGUAUGUUUUGUAAGAAGCACUUCAGUCUGGUAAAGUCUGAGCUUCAUCAUUGCUGCCCAAUGUUAACAUGGAUUUGAUGCAGCCAGCUGGUAAAGGGUGUCCCCCUUCUACCUGUACUGCUGUGUGUUUCGUCAAAUGAAGAAACAUGAACAACUGAAGUAAAUAUUCCAAUCAACUUUGACCUUCUUAU
rnacentral:misc_RNA from 1 species